rnacentral:lncRNA from 1 species
AGUGCGAGCCAGGGCUUUAAUCGGGCCAGGGCGGGCCAAUAGCCCGGGAGGUUGAGAAAUGAGGCCGAAAUCAUGUCGCAUUUUGGCUGCAAGGCGCAAAAGAGCAGCCGAGCGACGAGAACGACGUAUGCAACGACAACUGCAACGGCAACAGAGGAUGAACAUGUAGAACAAGUGACUGGUGGGAGAACACCGCUCAAAAGUACACAGAUGACCAGUGGCUGGAGGACUUCAGAGUCUCUAGAGAAACAUUCAGAUACAUUUGUUCAACGCUUAAGCCCUCACUACAGCGACUAGACACGUCAUUCAGAUUGUGCAUUCCUCUGGCAAAACGUGUAGCCAUUGCACUCUAUAAACUCGCAUCAACAACUGAGUAUAGAACAGUAGCUAACCUGUUUGCUGUCAGUCGGACCUCUGUGUGUCGCUGUGUGCAUGACUUUUGUAAGGCUGUGAUUGCUGUGCUUCGACCCAAGCUCAUAAACACCCCUGACCAAGCAAAAAUGGCAGAGAUUGCUGAUUAUUUUGAGGACAAAUUUGGUAUUCCACAAUGUGUUGGUGCUAUUGACGGUUCACACAUUCCCAUACUGAAACCUCCACAGUACCAGUCAGAUUUUCACAAUAGAAAAGGCUGGCAUUCCAUAAUUUUACAAGCAGUUGUGGAUGGUAAAGGCCUUUUUUGGGACCUUAAUGUAGGACAGCCUGGUAGAAAACAUGAUGCCAGCGUCUUGAAAA